rnacentral:lncRNA from 1 species
AACUACUUCUCGAUGAGCUGAACCGAGGCGUAGUACUCUGCAGCCUGCAUCUUUGAGUAUGUCUGUCUGUCUGGGCUGUUAGAGAAAAUUUGAUGUAUUCUUCCUCCUAUCCUACAGACCCGUGAGCAGCUGCAAGCAGAAAUACAGAGAGCACAGACACGGGUGGAGGACCUGGAAAAGGCUCUGGCUGAGCAGGGGCAGGAUAUGAAGUGGAUCGAAGAGAAGCAAGCAUUGUAUCGACGGAAUCAAGAGCUUGUAGAAAAGAUAAAACAAAUGGAGACGGAGGAGGCGCGGCUGAAGCAUGAGGUCCAGGAUGCAAAAGACCAGAA